GGGCGGGACGCGGGUGCGGGGAGGGCCGAGUCGCCCGCCCGCCCGCCGCUGCACUGCGGCGCCCGUGGGUGGGGAUUCCGCCCCGGGGUGGGGACCCCGCGGUCCCGCUGCUGGGGGACACUGGGGGUGGCGACCCCGGUGGCCGGCCACCUGCGACAGAAACCCAUGAGUCUUCCUCAGCAGCUGUCGAAACUUGCCGGCGGUUGCUUGCUCACCUUUGCUGUCUCCCCUUCAGAAAAGGCUGGAGGGGAGGGCGAGGAAGGCUUGGCGUGGGGACGCCCGUCGAGUCUCUCAGUGAGGAAUGAGAGGCCAGCUUCUCCUGCGGGGUAUGAAGGAGGAACUGUAUCUCCUAUAUAUAUUAAGUUUCAUUUAUAAAGACAUCAGAGAGCACCUGAGAAUGUUUCAAGGUCACCAAAAGCUUUCUGAAAAUGCCUUUCUGCAAAGAAGGUUUCCAGUCUUCUUGUUGCAGAACUCAUGGUAGGAAACAAGCAUCUUUCACAUGUCUCAGCUGAUUGUCAUACUCCUUUGUGAAUUUGGAUCAGCUUCCAACAUGUUACCCUUUGCAUUUUGGAUGUGGUGAAGUAUCUCUAAGAGUGCCUUUACCGUGAAAGUUUUUUCCAGCAUCGCUUCCUCUGGCACACCUUCAUCCAUUUCCUCACAGCCACUUUCGUCACUUACGUCAUGAGUUCACCUGCACUAAGUUCCCCUGGCUGCAUACCCAGAAUCUCUCCAGUGGUAGCAGGGUCAACAUUCCCAGGGUCAGCGAUUUC
rnacentral:lncRNA from 10 species